AGAAGCUUUUGAAUCAAAGCAAGCAACCAUGUUUGUGGCCUUAGAUAAGCUCUUCGCCUUGCACAAUGCCAUGCUGCUUGAAUCCCGAUUUAUUAAAGCUCUCUUCAUUUACUCUGUCUCAAUCUUCAUCCUCUACAUGUUCACUAGUACAAAGCAAACCUAUGCUGUGAGACCCAGGCUUUAUAUAGGUAUCACGAUUCACAUACAGGGAUUAUGAACUGUUAAACUACUAGAUGCUACUAAAACUAAAUGAGAAUCUCACUGAGCAGUUUUAUGGCAAGCAAAGAAAUAAAGAUGAGUUGUGGAAUGUGGACAUGGAUAGUGAAAUGAACUGGUUUUCUUGGGUUGACACUGAGUUACCAGAAGAUCUAGACAAUCUUGAAGACCCUGACUACAUACUUCCAGAGGAAGUUGGGGAGAAUUCAGUUGCAACAACCAUAACAACAAAAAAGUACAAUUUCCAUAGUCAGCAAUAUCAUCUGUAAUCUUAUCAGUAAUUUCACUAAUUUCCCUCAAAAGGCUUGACCUAUUUUGUAUCUAUUUAUCACUUGAUCUCAUUUGUAUGCACCAGUAAUUUAACAUUUUAUGAGUUCACAUUAAACAAAUUCUGCUCAUCUAUUAUCCUCUUUUUUAGUUAUUUUUUUAAUGCAUGGGAUUCUUGAAAUCUAGGAAGAAUAUAACAUUAUUUUCUCAGUUAAUUCAUA